rnacentral:lncRNA from 1 species
UUUCUCUGAUGGCCAAUGAUGAUGAGCAUUUUUUCAUGUGUCUUUUGGCUGCAUAAAUGUCUUCUUUUGAGAAGUGUCUAUUCAUGUCCUUCGCUCACUUUUUGAUGGGGUGGUUUUUUUCUUGUAAAUUUGUUUGAGUUCAUUGUAGAUUCUGGAUAUUAGCCCUUUGUCAGAUGAGUAGGUUGCAAACAUUUUCUCCCAUUCUGUAGGUUGCCUGUUCACUCUGAUGGUAGUUUCUUUGGCUGUGCAGAAGCUCUUUAGUUUAAUUAGAUCCCAUUUGUCAAUUUUGGCUUUUGUUGCCAUUGCUUUUGGUGUUUUAGACAUGAAGUCCUUGCCCAUGCCUAUGUCCUGAAUGGUAAUGCCUAGGUUUUCUUCUAGGGUUUUUUGGGCUCAGGUGAUCCUCUCACCUCAGCCUACUGAGUAGCUGGGACUUACAGGUACACAAUACCAUACCUGGCUAACUUUUUUUUGUUUUGUUUUUUGUAGAGAUGGAGUUUCGGCUCAUUGGCUGGGCUUGGUCUUGAACUGGUAAGCUCAAGUGAUCUGCCCGCCUUGGGCUCCCAGACAUGCACCACUGCACCUGGCCUAGAGAGAGAGAUUUUUAAAGAAAACAAUUUGGCUGGGGGCGGUGA